UACGGAGGGGGCUAGCGUUGUUCGGAAUUACUGGGCGUAAAGCGCACGUAGGCGGCUUUGUAAGUUAGAGGUGAAAGCCCGGGGCUCAACUCCGGAAUUGCCUUUGAUACUGGCUGUCUUGAGUAUGGGAGAGGUGAGUGGAACUCCGAGUGUAGAGGUGAAAUUCGUAGAUAUUCGGAAGAACACCAGUGGCGAAGGCGACUCACUGGCCCAUUACUGACGCUGAGGCGCGAAAGCGUGGGGAGCAAACAGG
rnacentral:rRNA from 1 species